ensembl:lncRNA
AUGGAUAUGAGUCUUGACCCAGAGAGAACCCAGACAGUAAGAGGGACAGACGGAAGGACUCAAAGUUUUGGCAGGCUAACCACAGUCCUCCAUGGAGCUGAACAAUCUUCAAGUUGCCCGACUGUCCCAGUAUUCUCAUCUACCAGUGCCAAUCCACAAGGCAAAGUCGCCCUACCCUGCCCAUACUGUACCAACGCCCUGCAUUAUCUGAACCAGUGCACUAACUUCAGCCGGUUAACAACUGAGCAGCGGAGAGAUUGGGUUAAGAAAAACAGGUGGUGCUGGCGUUGUGGUCGUUGUCACCAGGCCGCACAGUGCAAACUAAAGGCCAGGUGCAAGAAUUGUGAUGGCAGACAUCUGGAAGCUCUCCACGACCUUAACAUUAGACCAGCCAUAGUGACACCAGCCACAGAGAACACAUCAUGCUUAGUGAGUACUGCCAAUGAAGUUCUCUAUCUGGAUAGGCCGUCCGGCAGCAGUCAGGUGCUCCUGAAGGUGACAAAGGUUGGGCUAAAUAUUGGAGAGCAGGCCAUAGAGACCUACGCGAUACUGGAUGAUGGGUCAGAGCGCACGGUGCUACUUCCAGCCGCCGCUAAGGAGCUUAAACUUAAAGGGGAGUCAGAGAACCUUGCUUUAAGGACAGUGCGCCAGGAUCUUAGGGUUCUACAUGGAAUGUCGGUCUCAUUCUCCAUUUCUCCUACCUGGCACCCCCAAAAGACUUACAGGAUCCGGAGAGCCUUUACUGCCGAUCAGUUGGGCCUGGCAGAGCAUUCACAACCGGUGAAGACUCUUCAGUGCAAAUAUAAACACCUGAGAGGACUUCCCUUGCAAACACUGGAAUGCAUUCACCCCAUGGUCCUCAUUGGGUCAGACUAUACGCACCUGAUCACCCCAGUAGAGCCGGUUCGUAUGGGUCCGCCUGGAGGACCAGCUGCUGUAAAGACCAAGUUGGGCUGGACUAUUCAGGGCCCAACCAAGAUCAUCCGACAGCAUCUUCAGCCACAGCAGUGUCUGCAUAUAUCCACACAGUCACCCUCUGCAGAGCUCCUUUAUCACGUGGAGAAGCUAUGGAAAAUGGACAUACUGCCGUACAGGAGUGAGAAGGUAGUGAUCCGCUCAAAGCAAGAUCAGGAGGCAGUUCGCAUGCUGGAAACCAGGACAGUGAGGGUGGAAGUUGACGGAGUCCAUCGCUACGCCACCCCCCUGCUUCGUGUUAAUAACAUGCCGCGUCUCCACGCCCCCAAAGAUGCUGUACUGGCGAGUCUGCGGAGCACUGAGAGACGUCUGAUGAAAGACCCAACACGAGCAUCAGCCUAUGCAGCAGAGAUCCUGAAAUUGGAACAGGCGGGGUACGUGAAGAAGGUAGCAGAGGAAGAGCUGGGUACAUCAAUAGAGUCCUGGUUUAUACCUCACCACAUGGUGAGUCAUAAUGGAAAAAACAGACUCGUAUUCAACUGCUCCUUCGUAUACAAGGGUUACAACCUAAAUGAGCUUCUACUGCCAGGCCCCACAUUGACAUCCAGCCUGCUAGCUGUCCUGUUGAGAUUCAGGGAGCAUUUUGUUGCUAUAAGCAGCGACAUAAAAGGCAUGUUCCAUCAGAUCAGGUUGCUGCCAGAAGACAGAUCCCUGCUUCGUUUCGUGUGGAGAUACUCCAUUGAAAUGUAG